rnacentral:tRNA from 1 species
AGAGAACUAGUCUAACAAAGACAGUUGAUUUCGACUCAACAAAUUACAGCUCUACCCUGUAGCUCUCUC